rnacentral:miRNA from 1 species
UAGAUAGAUAUUCGGUUGGUGCAAAAGUAAUUGAGGUUUUUGCCAUGACCUUUAAUUGCGGCAAAAACUGCAGUUACUUUUGCUCCAAUCUGAUA